AUUGAACGCUAGCGGGAUGCCUUACACAUGCAAGUCGAACGGCAGCGCGGACUUCGGUCUGGCGGCGAGUGGCGAACGGGUGAGUAAUGUAUCGGAACGUGCCCAGUAGCGGGGGAUAACUACGCGAAAGCGUAGCUAAUACCGCAUACGCCCUACGGGGGAAAGCAGGGGAUCGUAAGACCUUGCACUAUUGGAUCGGCCGAUUUCGGAUUAGCUCGUUGGUUAGGUAACGGCUCACCAAGGCGACGAUCCGUAGCUGGUUUGAGAGGACGACCAGCCACACUGGAACUGAGACACGGCCCAGACUCCUACGGGAGGCAGCAGUGGGGAAUUUUGGACAAUGGGCGCAACCCUGAUCCAGCAAUGCCGCGUGUGCGAUGAAGGCCUUCGGGUUGUAAAGCACUUUUAGCAGGGAAGAAACGUCGCGGGCUAAUACCCCGUGGAACUGACGGUACCUACAGAAUAAGCACCGGCUAACUACGUG
rnacentral:rRNA from 1 species